ACGCGAAGAACCUUACCAGGUCUUGACAUCCUUUGACCACCCAAGAGAUUGGGCUUCCCCUUCGGGGGCAAAGUGACAGGUGGUGCAUGGUUGUCGUCAGCUCGUGUCGUGAGAUGUUGGGUUAAGUCCCGCAACGAGCGCAACCCUUGAUUUUAGUUGCCAGCAUUGAGUUGGGCACUCUAAGGUGACUGCCGGUGACAAACCGGAGGAAGGUGGGGAUGACGUCAAAUCAUCAUGCCCCUUAUGACCUGGGCUACACACGUGCUACAAUGGAUGGUACAAAGGGCAGCGAAACCGCGAGGUGAAGCCAAUCCCAUAAAGCCAUUCUCAGUUCGGAUUGCAGGCUGCAACUCGCCUGCAUGAAGCCGGAAUUGCUAGUAAUCGCGGAUCAGCAUGCCGCGGUGAAUACGUUCCCGGGUUUUGUACACACCGCCCGUCACACCACGAGAGUUUGUAACACCCGAAGUCG
rnacentral:rRNA from 1 species